UACGUAGGGGGCAAGCGUUGUCCGGAAUUAUUGGGCGUAAAGCGCGUGUAGGCGGCCAGGUAGGUCUGCUGUGAAAACUCGAGGCUCAACUUCGAGAUGUCGGCGGAAACCAUUUGGCUAGAGUCCGGAAGAGGAGAGUGGAAUUCCUGGUGUAGCGGUGAAAUGCGCAGAUAUCAGGAAGAACACCCGUGGCUAAGGCGGUUCUCUAGUACGGUACUGACGCUGAGACGCGAAAGCGUGGGGAGCGAACAGG
rnacentral:rRNA from 1 species